AUGAGCGCGGGGAGAACCUCGGCCGCUGCCCGGAGCUGUACGCGUGCCGGAGGGAGCGGCGCGGCUCCGCCUGGCCUUUAUUGGCAAUGCAGAGCGCGGCUGGCAGGGCGCUGCGCGGCUCCUCCGGCGCUGUCCGGCCGCGGUCGCACCGCAGCGGGAUCCCCGUUCCCGCACGCGGGGGUCACGGCGCCGCCGGGCCGGGGCGCGGAGGGCGGCCGACAGGCUCCGUCCCGCUCCCGGCGGGGGCAGCGGCCUCGUCCCGGCCUCCGUGAGUCACUUCCCUUCUCCCGGCCUCGGUUUCCCCUCUGGUCAAAGCGGGGGGGGGCGAGUUCCCGGCUCCCCGCACGCGGCCGCAUCCCGAGGGCCGAGCCCCGCUCCUUCCGCAGCCCCGGCGACAGCCCCGAGCCCAGCCGCCCCGCGUCCCCGAGCCCUAAGAACCGCGGCAGGGCCCGGCAGCCGGCACGGCAGCCCCGGGACAAGCCGCAGCUCCGGGACCCGGCGCCGCGCCCGCGGGGCUGGACUCGGGGCACGCUUUACCUUGACGUGUGCCGUCCCCGCUCCGCUGUUGUUGUUGUUGUGGUUCCUCUCGCCGCCGGCCCGGGCGCGGUCCCGCGGUGCCCCCGCGUCCCCCCCGUGCCAGUUGGACAGCGUGAUCCUCUUGAUGGAGCGCGCCAGGGCGCCGCGGCUCACCCUGUCCUCCUCGCCGCCCCCUCCCGGGCCGGUGCCGGUGCCGGUGCCGCGGGGCUGCUCGCGGGGUCCGGCCCGCGCCUGGGCCAGGUACAGGGAGAUGCGCUGCUCCAGGCCGGCACGGAGCCCGCGGCGGCCGUCCAGCGCGGAGGCGAGGGCGAUGCCGGGGCAGGGGUCGGCGGAGAACUCGGCGGCGCACUUGGGCACGGAGAGCUUGGUGCUGAUGGUGAAGGGCUGCACCUUCCUGGCCGUGCUGCCCGACAUCGUCCCGCCGCCCGCCGCCGGAGAGAGGCUCCGGGACGGGCGGGCGGCCGGGGAGGAGCCCGGUCCCGCGGCGGCGGCGCGGCUCCCCCUCUCUCCGUUCCCGGCCGGCUCCUUCCCCGGCGCGGGCGCGGCGGUGCCGGGGCGGGCGGCGCGGCGACGGGGCCGCCCCUUCCCGCGGGGGCUGUCAGCGGGGCGGCCCCGCGGCGGGGGGCGGCGGCGCGGGGGGCGGUGGCGCGGCGGCCAUGGCCGGGACGGGCUCUGCCUCCGGCCGCUCCGCCGGCCCCUCCGCCCCCGCCGGGGCGCGUCCCCUCCUCCGGGCCGGGCCCUCCUCCCGCGGCGUGCGGGGCAGGGCGAGGCGAGGCGAGGCGGUCGGGGAGCCCUCGGGAAGGGCGGCCUCAGGCGUCCGCCUUCUUGUGCAGGUUGAGGAUGCAGAGCAGGCAGGUGAGCAGCGCCUGGCGGCUCUCCCGGGAGCGCAGCCGGCGCCCCAGACGGCGGAGCGGCGGCAGGAGGCGCUUGCGGGCCAGCUGCAGCAGGCGGGAGAGCAGCGAGAGCAGCAGCGGGGCGGCCAGCGGCACGGCGGGCAUCGCGGACACCGCCGAGCUCCGGAGGCGGCGGACCCGGGCACAGCGGCGCCGGGACGGGAGCGGGUGGGAGCUGGGACGCAGCGCUGGGGCCGCCCCCUCUCGGCCGCUCUCGGCGCCCUGA
rnacentral:lncRNA from 1 species